rnacentral:rRNA from 1 species
UACGUAGGGGGCGAGCGUUGUCCGGAUUUAUUGGGCGUAAAGCGCACGCAGGCGGAGCGGUAAGAGUGGGGUGACAGGUGUCGGCUUAACCGAGACAGUGUCCCACAGACUGCCGCCCUUGAGGGCCACAGAGGAACACAGAAUUCCGGGUGGAGUGGUGAAAUGCGUAGAUAUCCGGAGGAAUACCAAAGGCGAAGGCAGUGUUCUGGGUGGCACCUGAC